AGAAUCAACGCUGGCGGCGUGCCUAACACAUGCAAGUCGAACGAGAAAGUGGAGCAAUCCAUGAGUAAAGUGGCGCACGGGUGAGUAACACGUGACUAACCUACCCUUGAGUGGGGGAUAACCUCGGGAAACCGGGGCUAAUACCGCAUAACAUCGAGAGAUCAAAGGAGCAAUUCGCUUAAGGAGGGGGUCGCGGCUGAUUAGCUAGUUGGUGAGGUAAUGGCUCACCAAGGCUAUGAUCAGUAUCCGGCCUGAGAGGGCGCACGGACACACUGGAACUGAAACACGGUCCAGACUCCUACGGGAGGCAGCAGUGGGGAAUUUUGCGCAAUGGGGGAAACCCUGACGCAGCAACGCCGCGUGGAGGAUGAAGUCCCUUGGGACGUAAACUCCUUUCGAUCGGGACGAUAAUGACGGUACCGGAAGAAGAAGCCCGGCUAACUUCGUGCCAGCAGCCGC
rnacentral:rRNA from 1 species